UAUGUUUCAGUAGAAGCUAUAGUACACAUUCAUGGAUAUUAGAUUCUAGCUCUUCUCUUCUACAAAGUUCAUCUAUUACUAAUCAUAAUGUCUCCUUGUGGCCAUCUGUCUCUGACACUUGGGAGCUCCCUGGCCACAUUCAAACCUCCUCCUUCAAUUCUACUGCCCAAAUACUGCCUAAAUUUGCCUGCCACAGAUGGAGCACAAACAAGGAGUUCUUAAGUUUUGCCUCCUGGACCACUUCUCAUCAAACGAUUCUCUCAUCUCCAGAGGAUCUGUGCAUCUUGUCAGCUUUGGACUCUGUGUGCACAAACUUCGGGUCCACAAUAAAGCUAUUUCCAUUGUUUAGGAGAAAACAGAAAGUUUAAAGAUUUGUUUUUUUUUUCCUAAUGAUAUCACCCUGGUUGAGAGUGCUGCACUGAGUCAUUUCUGAAAAUUCAACUCUAAAUGCCCGGACAAG
rnacentral:lncRNA from 1 species